rnacentral:rRNA from 1 species
UGAGGAAUAUUGGUCAAUGGGGGCAACCCUGAACCAGCCAAGUCGCGUGAAGGAUGAAGGUCUUAUGGAUUGUAAACUUCUUUUACACGGGAAUAAAGUGGGGGACGUGUCCCCCUUUGCAUGUACCGUGUGAAUAAGGAUCGGCUAACUCCGUGCCAGCAGCCGCGGUAAUACGGAGGAUCCGAGCGUUAUCCGGAUUUAUUGGGUUUAAAGGGUGCGCAGGCGGGAUGUUAAGUCGGCGGUGAAAUUUUGCAGCUCAACUGUAAAAGUGCCUUCGAUACUGGCCUCCUUGAGUGUGGAUGAAGUAGGCGGAAUUUGUUGUGUAGCGGUGAGAUGCUUAGAUAUCACGAGGAACUCCGAUUGCGCAGGCAGCUUACUAAGCCACAACUGACGCUCAUGCACGAAGGCGUGGGGAUCAAACA